UACGAAGGUCCCAAGCGUUGUUCGGAAUCACUGGGCGUAAAGGGUGCGUAGGCUGCGCGGAAAGUCAGAGGUGAAAUCCCGGGGCUCAACCCCGGAACUGCCUCCGAUACUGCCGCGCUCGAGUACUGAAGGGGAGUCUGGAAUUCACGGUGGAGCAGUGAAAUGCGUGGAUAUCGUGAGGAACACUAGUGGCGCAGGCGAGACUCUGGGCAGUAACUGACGCUGAGGCACGAAGGCCAGGGGAGCAAACGGG
rnacentral:rRNA from 1 species